UUUUGAGUUGACACCCUGUUUAUUAUGACAUCCGGCCUUAAAAAAAUGUAAACAAACCAAAAAGCAGAGUAUCAAAUUGUAGAUUGAACCUUGCGAAAGCGUUUUAUCUAUAAUAUAUAUUAACUAUAUUAUCAAACUUAAUUUAUUACAAUAAUACAAAAAUGCCUCCUGUAAAAAGAAAUAGAUGGUGUAAUUUAUAUGGUGGUAGCCCUUCUGAUCUUCCUAUUACAGAUCUAGCAACUUAUGGUGAUGUAGCAAGAUUUUUCUACAAAUUAAAAGAUUUAGAUGGUAUUAAAGACAAAAAUGUUAUUAUUCAAAAAACGCUUUGUAGUUUAAAAGAAAUAUGGUUCAAUUGCAAUUCCAAAUUAGUUUUGUUACCUGAAAAAAGUUUAAUUGUUAAACUUUUAAAGUUUUAUAAUAAUGUUGUUUCUUUGAAUAGAAAUAAAAUUAAACCUUUGACCAAAAUAUUGUUGGAAAAAAAUAAUGAAAAAGUUUUUGAUCUGCUAGCGUGUAACUGCAUGCUUGAAGUUCUUCCUUGUGAUGACAGGAAUAUUAAAUGCUCAGGUUGUUCAAAUGUGCAUCUUUACUGUAGUUGUGUUAGUAGCAAAAAAGUUCUUUUGGAAGAGCGCUCCUAUAUAAAAGAAAAAUUGGUACUAAAGGAAAGUUUCAAAUAGGAGGUAUUGAUAACUCUGUUUUAUUACUUACCUCAAGAAAAACAAAGCAAACAAAAGCUUAUGAUGAAGAAAUUUAUAUUAAAGAGUUUGACACAAUCAUGGAUUCAGAUCAGGGUGAAACUUCAAUUUCAUCAUUAAAUCUAUAUCAAAGUACUACAACACUAUCCACUAUCUCAAAUUUGCUUUAAGGGUAAUUAAUAAAGCUUUAAGGGAAUAUCAGAUAAAGCAGCUGCCACUGUAGCUAAUGCUCUACUUCAAGAUAUUGGUUAUCUACAUCUAAAUGAUGUAAUUGAUCAAAGUAAAAUGAAGAAAGAGAAAGAACGAGUAUGCUUUAAUGCUAGUUUUGAGCAAUCUAAAGUUUCAAAUAUAAAAGCAAUUGGUUUAGAUAGUAAACGUAAUAAAAACUCAUUGGUUUUAUGAAUAGAGAGAUAUUGAUGGUGAAAUAAAACUUUGUAAAUCUACAAGCACUGUAGACCACUUGACAUUCACAAUUGAAUCAGCGAGUUGCAAGGUCAAUAUCUAAAGCACAUAGAUGAACCUAAAGAAAAAGGUAAAGGAAAAGAUCUUGCUGAAUUUACCUGUUAUGUUCUCAAGGAAAUUAAGAGUGAUAAAAGUAUUCAGGCAAUAAUUUUGGACAAUACAAGUGUUAAUACAGGUAAAGAUAAUGGUUUAGUUGCUUGUCUUAAAAGAAUAUUGAAAAGAAGAAUUCAUUUAAUUGGCUGUCUUCUACAUGUUAACGAGUUUCCAUUGCGUCAUUUAAUUUCUAAACUUGAUAGUACUUCUUGAACCCAAUUUUCGGGCUUACAGAAAAGAAGAAUUUGCAAGUACUAAUGGGUUAUCUACAAUGUAAAUAACUAUAUAGGUAAAUUAUGUAUACAAAGUUAUUUUAAAUUUUAUUUUAAUUUACUAAAACAUUGU
rnacentral:lncRNA from 1 species